rnacentral:rRNA from 1 species
AUUGAACGCUAGCGGGAUGCCUUACACAUGCAAGUCGAACGGAGUGGCGAACGGGUGCGUAAUGUAUCGGAACGUGCCCAGUCGCGGGGGAUAACUACGCGAAAUCGUAGCUAAUACCGCAUACUCUUGGAGCGGCCGAUAUGGGAUUAGCUAGUGGGGGGGGUAACGGCUCACAAAGGCGACGAUCCGUAGCUGGUUUGAGAGGACGACCAGCCACACUGGAACUGAGACACGGCCCAGACGCCUACGGGAGGCAGCAGUGGGGAAUAUUGGACAAUGGGGGAAAGCCUGAUGCAGCCAUCCCGCGUGUGUGAUGAAGGCCUUCGGGUUGUAAAGCACUUUUGGCAGGAAAGCGGUACCUGCAGAAUAAGCACCGGCUAACUCCGUGCCAGCAGCCGCGGUAAUAC